CCUACGGGUGGCAGCAGUGGGGAAUAUUGGGCAAUGGGCGCAAGCCUGACCCAGCAACGCCGCGUGAAGGAAGAAGGCUUUCGGGUUGUAAACUUCUGUUCUGAGGGACGAAGAAAGUGACGGUACCGCAGGAAUAAGCAACGGCUAACUACGGGACAGCAGCCGCGGGAAUACGGAGGUGGCAAGCGUUCUCCGGAUUUAUUGGGUGUAACGGGCUUGUAGGCGUGAUAGCAAGUCAGAUGUGACAGCUCAGGGCUCAACCCGGAGCCUGCAUUUGAAACUGUUUUUCUUGUGCGCUGGAGCGGCAAUCGUAAUUCCGUGUGUAGCUGUGAAAUGCGUAGCUAUCCGGAGGAACACCAGUGGCGAAGGCGGCUUGCUGGACAGUAACUGACGCU
rnacentral:rRNA from 1 species